rnacentral:rRNA from 1 species
UUGCGGUCAAAUCACGCUGAAACACCGGUUCUCGUUCGAUCACCGAAGUUAAGCAUCGUAGAGCCAGGUCAGUACUUAGAUGGGGGACCGCUUGGGAACACCUGGUACUGUAAG